ACGGGCCAGUUGGUUUUAGGUAAAGAAGAAUUGACCUGUAGGGUUUAGAAAAACGAAGAAGAACGGGGCAGUUGUGUUUAGGUACAGAAGAACGGUCCGGUUUGGUUUAGGUAAAGAAGAACGGGACGGUUUGGUUUAGGUAAAGAAGAACGGGACGGUUGGGUUUAGGUAAAGAAGAACAGGACAGUUGGGUUUAGGUAAAGAAGAACAGGACGGUUGGAUUUAGGUAUAGAAGAACGGGCCAGUUGGGUUUAGGAAGAGAAGAACGGGCCAGUUGGUUUUAGGUAAAGAAGAACGGGCCGGUUUGGUUUAGGUAAAGAAGAACGGGCCGGUUUGCUUUAGAUAAAGAAGAACGGGCCGGUUUGGUUUAGGUAAAGAAGAACGGGCCGGUUUGGUUUAGGGAAAGAAGAACGGGACGGUUUGGUUUAGGUAUAGAAGAACGGGACGUCGGGUUUAGGUAAAGAAGAAC